GAUGAAGAACGCAGCAAAAUGCGAUACGUAAUGUGAAUUGCAGAAUUCAGUGAAUCAUCGAGUCUUUGAACGCACAUUGCGCCCCCUGGUAUUCCGGGGGGCAUGCCUGUCCGAGCGUCAUUGCUGCCCUCAAGCACGGCUUGUGUGUUGGGCCUCCGUCCUCCUCCCGGGGGACGGGCCCGAAAGGCAGCGGCGGCACCGCGUCCGGUCCUCGAGCGUAUGGGGCUUCGUCACCCGCUCUUGUAGGCCCGGCCGGCGCUUGCCGACACAUCAAUCUUUUUUCCAGGUUGACCUCGGAUCAGGUAGGGAUACCCGCUGAACUUAAGCAUAUCAAUAAGCGGAGGA
rnacentral:misc_RNA from 1 species